rnacentral:rRNA from 1 species
ACGAAGGGACCUAGCGUAGUUCGGAAUUACUGGGCGUAAAGCGCGCGUAGGCCGUUGAGUUAGUUAAUUGUGAAAUCCCAAAGCUUAACUUUGGAACUGCAAUUAAAACUGCUCGACUAGAGUUUGAUAGAGGAAAGCGGAAUACAUAGUGUAGAGGUGAAAUUCGUAGAUAUUAUGUAGAACACCAGUUGCGAAGGCGGCUUUCUGGAUCAAUACUGACGCUGAGGCGCGAAAGUAUGGGUAGCAAAGAGGAUUAGAUACCCUCGUAGUCCAUACCAUAAACGAUGAUUGCUAGAUGUUGGAAAUUUAUUUUCAGUAUCGCAGCUAACGCAUUAAGCAAUCCGCCUGGGGAGUACGACCGCAAGGUUA